GUGGGCGUCAGGGGUGCCUGCUGUCCCACGCCUGUUCGCUCCCUUCUUCCAGCUGGACACGGGACCCUCCUGGCUGCUUCCCCCUCGUCCCCGGCUCGCUGUGGUCCACAUGCUCUGGGUGGGUCCCAGAUGCCACCCCUGUCCCCUAGGCUUCCUUUUAUUCUGGCUCUGGCCCCAGGAAACUACAGGCUCCUACCUGAACCCCAGCAAUGCCACCCCUUCCCACCCAUCACCAAGUAUCCGACUAUUCUUAGACUUCCCCCACGGAGGGGGCUGGAGAUAACAGAACAAAGAAAGGGCUUGGGAGUCAGGUAGUAGCGCAGCAGGUUAAACACAGGUGGCACAAAGCGCAAAGAAAGGGCUUGCCCGUGUGAGGUCUCAAGUUCAAUUCCUAGCAACACCUGUGCCAGAGAUGUAUAGCAAUACAACAAACUCCGGGGAGGAGGCGGAAGAGAGCUCACCUCGUAGAUCACAUACUUUGUUUGCCCUGUGCCAGGACUCAAGUUUGAGCCCCCAGUCACCCCACGGGAAGCUCCGUGAGCAGUGGAGCAAUCCUGAGGUGUCUCUCACCCUCUACGGGGGCAGAGUCUGCUAGGAAUGGUGUUAUCACACAGGCACGAAGUCUCAUGACUACUUUUGUGGGCUGCUGGUGUAUCCUUCAAAUUGACUGAAUUUGAUUGUUUUAUUCACUUUUGAUAGGUUGAUUACUAUUUUUAUUUAUAAGGUCCUGCCAUCUGCAAAUAUAGUUCUGCUGCUUCCUUUCAUUUCAUUUUGUUGCCUAAUGAACCAAUGACCGGGCUGUCACCUCCUGACAUGACAAAAGGCCUCAUCUUGUUCGUUAGUGGGGAAAGCCUUAGGUUUUCACCAUUAUGAUGCCAGCUGUGGCUCUUCAUAGAUAUCUUUUAUCAGGGCAGCAAGUCCCUUUCUAAGGCAGGGGGACUUUUGCAUGAGCAAGACUUCUUUUUCUAUUGGCAUGAGACAUAAAAAGCCCAACAAAGCCAUCUUUCUAAAUUACUAUGUUCAAAGCCUUCAUAAAUAUUUUAAAAGCUCUCUCAUCCAUAUUUAAAAAAAAAAACA